rnacentral:rRNA from 1 species
UACGUAGGGGGCUAGCGUUGUCCGGAUUUAUUGGGCGUAAAGAGCGUGUAGGCGGCCAGGUAGGUCUGGUGUGAAAACUCGAGGCUUAACCUCGAGAUGUCAUCGGAAACCAUCUGGCUAGAGUCCGGAAGAGGAGAGUGGAAUUCCUGGUGUAGCGGUGAAAUGCGCAGAUAUCAGGAAGAGCACCAAUGGCGAAAGCAGCUCUCUGGGACGGUACUGACGCUGAGACGCGAAAGCGUGGGGAGCGAACAGG